UCUAACCUAACACCUUCAUCAAGCAGAUGAAGAAACAAGCCCAGAGAGCUAACGAAGUUCACACUGUAAAUCAGCAGGACUUGAGAUUAGGAUCAGGCUUUCUGACUCUUAUUUUUGAACUAUUGUUGUAUUGUCACUAAUAUCGAUUAUUUUGAAAUACUAAUUCUUCAGCUAAAUCUCUGCUCGUAUUAUGAAAAGCUGCCUCAACUCAAUACAUUACAGCUUGUAUGUAUUUCACAAUAAUAAUGACAAAAGUGCCAAUGAUAUUUUGAAGUCAUCCCAUGUCUCAAUUCAGUAAACCCAAGCAGAAAGAGAUUACUUACGAAUGGAUGUAGUUCCUCACAUUUACCCAGAGAAAAAUUGCCUUAUUGGACCAGAUAAACUUCCCAGGCAUAGAUCUAUAAGAGAUGAAAAAGUGAAUGAGGCAGCAGGAUGUAGUUAUACGAGUAUUGGAACCAGAAAGACUUGGAUUGAAUUAUCGUUACUAUCAUGGAGACUCAAGCUGACAGUGGCAAUAAGUCAUGCAUACAACAAAAUGAAUACAAUGUCAAAAGUAGCACAUUUUCAGUACCAUGUGACUAUGACAGCAAGUAAAUGCUUAAAAUUUGU